CCCACUUCCCAGUCUGGAUUCCACGCUCAUCACUCUGUCGAAACAGCUCUGACCAAAGUAUCCAAUUACUUAAUCACUGCAAAAUCUCAAGGUCAAUAUUCUAUCCUAAUUCUCCUUGACAUUUCUGCUGCUUUUGACACUGUUGAUCAUCAACAGCUUCUUCUCAUCCUCCAUAAUCUCGGUCUUCCUCAUUGUGUUCCUCCAAUCUCUCCCUGUG